CGAACACAGAAAGGAAUGACUUGCAAAACAUGCCAAUGCUGGGCCUGUAGUUCUGAAAUAGAGGCAAGUCUAACACCAGAGAUGAUCAAGCCAAGCACAGAGAUUGGAAGAGCA